rnacentral:rRNA from 1 species
GGAUACUGUCAAACUUGGAACCGGGAGAGGUAAGAGGUACUUCGGGGGUAGGAGUGAAAUCUUGUAAUCCUUGUGGGACCACCGGUGGCGAAGGCGUCUUACCAGAACGGGUUCGACGGUGAGGGACGAAAGCUGGGGGC